rnacentral:rRNA from 1 species
GACGAACGCUGGCGGCGUGCUUAACACAUGCAAGUCGAACGGUGAAGCGCCUUCCUUUUUGGUGGGUGUGGAUGAGUGGCGAACGGGUGAGUAACACGUGAGUAACCUGCCCCCUUCUUCUGGAUAACCGCGUGAAAGUGUGGCUAAUACGGGAUAUUCUGGGUCUGUCGCAUGAUGGGUCUGGGAAAGAUAUUGUUUCGGUGGGGGAUGGGCUCGCGGCCUAUCAGCUUGUUGGUGGGGUGAUGGCCUACCAAGGCGGUGACGGGUAGCCGGCCUGAGAGGGUGGACGGUCACACUGGGACUGAGACACGGCCCAGACUCCUACGGGAGGCAGCAGUGGGGAAUAUUGCACAAUGGGCGCAAGCCUGAUGCAGCGACGCCGCGUGAGGGAUGGAGGCCUUCGGGUUGUGAACCUCUUUCGCCAGUGAAGCAGGCCUGCCUCGUUUGUGGGUGGGUUGACGGUAGCUGGAUAAGAAGCGCCGGCUAACUACGUG